UAACACGUAUCCAACCUGCCGAUUAUUCCGGGAUAGCCUUUCGAAAGAAAGAUUAAUACUGGAUAGCAUAACGAGAAGGCAUCUUCUUGUUAUUAAAGAAUUUCGAUAAUCGAUGGGGAUGCGUUCCAUUAGUUUGUUGGCGGGGUAACGGCCCACCAAGACAUCGAUGGAUAGGGGUUCUGAGAGGAAGGUCCCCCACAUUGGAACUGAGACACGGUCCAAACUCCUACGGGAGGCAGCAGUGAGGAAUAUUGGUCAAUGGACGAGAGUCUGAACCAGCCAAGUAGCGUGAAGGAUGACUGCCCUAUGGGUUGUAAACUUCUUUUAUAUGGGAAUAAAGUGAGCCACGUGUGGCUUUUUGUAUGUACCAUACGAAUAAGGAUCGGCUAACUCCGUGCCAGCAGCCGCGGUAAUACGGAGGAUCCGAGCGUUAUCCGGAUUUAUUGGGUUUAAAGGGAGCGUAGGCGGAUUAUUAAGUCAGUUGUGAAAGUUUGCGGCUCAACCGUAAAAUUGCAGUUGAUACUGGUAGUCUUGAGUGCAGCAGAGGUAGGCGGAAUUCGUGGUGUAGCGGUGAAAUGCUUAGAUAUCACGAAGAACUCCGAUUGCGAAGGCAGCUUACUGAACUGUAACUGACGCUGAUGCUCGAAAGUGUGGGUAUCAAACAGGAUUAGAUACCCUGGUAGUCCACACAGUAAACGAUGAAUACUCGCUGU
rnacentral:rRNA from 1 species